rnacentral:lncRNA from 1 species
AUCGUUCAUGAUUAAUCACGUGGUCAUACGGAUGCCGUAUUCACGGGAUCGCGAUGUUCUCACCAAAGUAUGCCAAUUUUAUUAGCCGUGCAAAGGUCAAGGUUGAAGUAUGUUCCGCUUUUCUAUCUCUGGACGGAUAAAUACUCCUAUUUAAUACGCAAACAUAUAUCAUCCACAGUAAGAAGAUGUAUCUACUACCUUCUCCAAGUCAACAUAGCAAAGAAACUACACCCUGCUCGUACAUAGCACAAUACAAUUUUGAAUACAAUCAGACCAUGGCGUAUCUCCUCGCGGUGCUUUAUUGCCCUUUAUAAUUUGCAAAUUCGCGACGUCCGGGAGAGAGGCCAAGA